CAGAUUCUUCAAGGAGACCUAUUGCCUCAAAUAUCAAAAGAAGUUGACCUUCUGGAAAUUCUAAGAGGCCCACCUAGGUCGUCUUCACAAGAAUUCCUAGAUGAUUCACCCAUUUGGGACGAGGAAUUUAAAGCUGAUGACCAAAUUGGGUCACCUCCUCAAGAGGAGAGAUUUCAAGAGCUUAACUGGGGCAGGAGCACAACUUCGAUAACCAUGGCGCCCCCAUAUUAACAAAGUUCAUCUUGUGAACAACAAGUUCCUAACUGAACAGAAAGGCCUGCAGGGGCAACCCCAUCAAACUACCUAAUAUGGGCAAUCUCCUCUCAUGCGAGAGCACAACAGGGGCAGUUAAUGACAUUGGGCCCUUAUCUAUUAACUCCCAACGUGCUAUAAGGUCAUCCAAUGUUAACUCAGUCACUUUUCUUGUGCGAGAGUCUUAUUCGAGCUUAAGUACUAAGAAUGAGCCUACUACAGAAUUAACUCCUAAAAAAAAGAAAAACACAAAAUUUGGAAUGAAAGAGACAAUCGAAAAGGAGUUGGUGAUCACUCACCCCUUGCAAAAAACCAAAUGGGGC
rnacentral:lncRNA from 1 species